rnacentral:rRNA from 1 species
GUGGGGAAUAUUGCGCAAUGGGGGCAACCCUGACGCAGCGACGCCGCGUGGAUGAUGAAGGCCUUCGGGUUGUAAAAUCCUGUCAGAUGGGAAGAAGUGUGUAGUACUUAAUACGUGCUACAUUUGACGGUACCAUCAAAGGAAGCACCGGCUAACUCCGUGCCAGCAGCCGCGGUAAUACGGAGGGUGCAAGCGUUGUUCGGAAUUAUUGGGCGUAAAGGGCGCGCAGGCGGUUUUAUAAGUCAGAUGUGAAAGCCCGGGGCUUAACCCCGGAAGUGCAUUUGAAACUAUAUGACUUGAGUAUGGGAGAGGGAAGUGGAAUUCCUGGUGUAGAGGUGAAAUUCGUAGAUAUCAGGAGGAACACCGGUGGCGAAGGCGACUUCCUGGACCAAUACUGACGCUGAGGCGCGAAGGCGUGGGGAGCAAACAGGAUUAGAAACCCUAGUAGUCC